rnacentral:lncRNA from 1 species
GAUUCCCAUAUUUUCGUGUGCUAUAUAGCCCGCGCAUUCCAAGUGGUCCCGAAACCCCCAGACUCCGAUCACGUAAAAUUUUUCUGGGCCAUCAAAUAAGACCUAAGGAACCAUAGUCACCGCCCCACUAUGAUCGUUCCUCAAUUUUUACAUUUUACAGCCAAAACAAUAGAUUUUCGCCCGAUUCCCAUAUUUUUGUGUGCUAUAUUGCCCACACCUUCCAAGUGGUCCCGGGAACUCCGGACACCGAUCGCCUAAAAAUUUUCUGGGCCAUCAAAUAAGACCUAAGGAACCAUAGUCACCUCCCUGCCAUGAUCGUUCCUCAUUUUUUGAAUUUUUCGGCCAAAAAACUAUAAUUCCGUCCGAUUCCCAUAUUUUCGUUUGCCCACGCCUUUCAAGUGGUCCCGGGACCCUCGGACCCCGAACGCCUAACAUUUUUCCGGGCCAUCCAAUACGACCUAAGGAACCAUAGUCACUGACCCCGCCAUGAGCUUUCCUUAUGUUUUGCAUUUUACGGCCAAAAAACUAGAAUUAUGCCCGAUUCCCAUAUUUUCGUGUGCUAGCCCACGCCUUCAAGUGGUCCCGGAACCCCCGGACUCCGAUCACCUAAAACUUUUUCGGACCAUAAAAUACGACCUAAGGAAGCAUAGUCACCGCCCCGCCAUGAUCGUUCCUCAAUUUUUGCGUUUUUCGGCCAAAAAACUAUAAUUCCGUCCGGUUCCCAUAUUUUCGUGUGCUAUAUAGCCCACACCUUCCAAGUGGUCCCGGGACCUCCGGACACCGAUCGCCUAAAAAUUUUCUGGGCCAUCAAAUAAGACCUAAGGAA